UAAUAAGUGUUUUAUGGCACUUUUUAAAUCCAUAUCCACCUUGUGUGCAAUGUCAGUCGAUCUUCUUCAUGGAGAUCGACCAAACAUCAACCUUUAUUUUUUAACUCUUUGUCUGAAAAAUAUUAUGAAUAAACAAUUCAAAAUAA
rnacentral:misc_RNA from 1 species